rnacentral:rRNA from 1 species
AACGAACGCUGGCGGCAUGCCUAACACAUGCAAGUCGAACGAGACCUUCGGGUCUAGUGGCGCACGGGUGCGUAACGCGUGGGAAUCUGCCCUUGGGUUCGGAAUAACAGUUGGAAACGACUGCUAAUACCGGAUGAUGACGUAAGUCCAAAGAUUUAUCGCCCAAGGAUGAGCCCGCGUAGGAUUAGCUAGUUGGUGAGGUAAAGGCUCACCAAGGCGACGAUCCUUAGCUGGUCUGAGAGGAUGAUCAGCCACACUGGGACUGAGACACGGCCCAGACUCCUACGGGAGGCAGCAGUGGGGAAUAUUGGACAAUGGGCGAAAGCCUGAUCCAGCAAUGCCGCGUGAGUGGUGAAGGCCUUAGGGUUGUAAAGCUCUUUUACCCGGGAUGAUAAUGACAGUACCGGGAGAAUAAGCUCCGGCUAACUCCGUG